UACGGAGGGUGCAAGCGUUAUCCGGAUUCACUGGGUUUAAAGGGUGCGUAGGUGGGCUGAUAAGUCAGUGGUGAAAUCCCCGAGCUUAACUUGGGAACUGCCAUUGAUACUAUUGAUCUUGAAUACCGUGGAGGUCAGCGGAAUAUGUCAUGUAGCGGUGAAAUGCUUAGAUAUGACAUAGAACACCAAUUGCGAAGGCAGCUGGCUACGCGAAUAUUGACACUGAUGCACGAAAGCGUGGGGAUCAAACAGG
rnacentral:rRNA from 1 species